CCUACGGGGUGCUGCAGUAGGGAAUCUUCCACAAUGUGCGAAAGCCUGAUGGAGCAACGCCGCGUGGGUGAAGAAGGUCUUCGGAUCGUAAAACCCUGUUGUUAGAGAAGAAAGUGCGUGAGAGUAACUGUUCACGUUUCGACGGUAUCUUACCAGAAAGCCACGGCUAACUACGUGCCGGCAGCCGCGGUAAUACGUAGGUGGCAAGCUUUAUCCGGAUUUAUUUGGCGUAAAGGGAACGCAGGCGGUCUUUUAAGUCUGAUGUGAAAGCAUUCGGCUUAACCGGAGUAGUGCAUUGGAGACUGGGAGACUUGAGUGCAGAAGAGGAGAGUGGAACUCCAUGUGUAGCGGUGAAAUGCGUAGAUAUAUGGAAGAACACCAGUGGCGAAAGCGGCUCUCUGGUCUGUAACUGACGCUGAGGUUCGAAAGCGUGGGUAGCAAACAGGAUUAGAUACCCUGGUAGUC
rnacentral:rRNA from 1 species